AUGAGUCUUUGGUUGGGAACAACUCAAAUUUUGCCCUUUUAAAUGGAUUCCCCUGGCUCAUCUGCCCCCUCUCCUCCAGAUCUUACAAUUAUCCCAAAAAUUAGUUCAAAAAAGUGCCAAAUUUGUGAAAACCCAGCUCACGGGAAGCACUUUGGAGCGGUCACUUGCAGGGCGUGUGCUGCAUUUUUCAGGCGAUUUGGUAUUUCAAAUAAUUUCAAGCCAUGUAAAACUGAAAAUAAGUGCAGUUUUCGGAAAAAUGGGUAUUUUAGUUGCAAAAAAUGCAGAAUGCAAAGGUGUCUGCAAUUUGGGAUGACUAUUGAUAAUUUCCAAUUCGAUAGAGAGCCAUUUAACCCGUUAAAAAUGAAUGUAGGGAUUCCACAGACGGUUGACACAUUUUCUGGAAGGCCCAGCUUGAUACUUUUCAGUGCUCCUUCGGGCUCCAGCGGCCCCAAACGCUACAUUGACGUUCAAUUUCUCGUUGAUAGAGCUGUUGAAGUUUUGCUAAAUGGCUCAGAAACCCCGUAUCAAGUUUCCAAUGUGCUUCAAAAGUUAGCGAUUGGAUUGCAAAAUAUACGUGGUCCGCAACAAAAAGUGUCACAAAUUGUCACAAAAAUUGGAAAAGAGGGGAUUUUCAAACUGUGGGAGGAAGAAAUGCUUCGGAUGGCAAAGUGGUUGACCUACUUUGAUGAUUUUCAGAGACUUCCGCAUUCUGUUCAGAUCGAAAUCUUAAAUGGAGUGUGGUUUCUUUUCGGCCGACUUGAAAACAUUGCAUCAACUGCCUUGGCGAGAAAACGAAAAUUGUGCAAGGAUGACAUGGUCAUGACAUGUGUGAAUAAAAAUGUUUUAAUUUGUGAUCUGAGAACACUCGAGAUCGACUUAUCUUGGUGCUCAAAAUAUACGUUCCAGCAGUUGAAAUUCUUCGACCAGUAUGACGAUCUAAGACAGUUAGAUAUUUUAAUAAAUGCAAUGCUAGACCUCGAACCAACCCACGAAGAGCUGUCCUACAUGAUAUGUCAAUUAUGUUUCCAUCAAGUCGGGAAAAAGUUGCAAGGAAACAUUCUGAAAACCGUCGAAAAGUUACAAGAAGUGUUAUCCAAUAACUUGCACGAUUAUUAUGUGAAUCAGAUGAACCAGCCCAAAUAUUCAAAGAGAAUCGCUAGAAUGAUGAAGAUAAACAAUACUGUUGAGCAAUGCCUAUACCGCGAUCGUGUGAAAGCAGACCUAAUGAAAGUUUUCGAGGUAUUUCAUGUGGAGUGCUCUCAUCCUGGAAUUUUUCUGAAUGCUUAA
rnacentral:misc_RNA from 1 species